AAUUAACUCUCAUCUCUUCAAAUUAUUCCCAGUGCAGCUCAUCACCUAACGACCUCCCAUCUCUGUGCAGCAGCUGCUGUCCAUUGCUGAUAAGAGGCUGCAACAUGUUACCAGGAAACAAGACUCCAUGCACAUGGGACAGCUCAGCUUGAUCAAGUGUCUUUGGCCUUCAGUGGCUGAUGAUCAGUGUGUGGUAGAAGUCUACAACACUGCAAAGGGUGCAGAAUGCAACAUCAUUUUCAAAGCAUGAACAGCAUACUGUUAAAUAUUAUUGUGAUCCUCUGUACCUCUUAAGCAAUGGUAGGCAAGCAAGCACCAGUUAUUUAAUGCUAAAAGAUAUAAUGAAGUGCAGUGUUCUUUGGAAAAGAGAGACCCAAAGCCAUCCAAUGAGUUUGGGUGAGCAUGCUUAUGAACAUCACCCCAGGGGUUAUGUAUCUCCAGUGUCAAUUGUGAAUGGGUCACCAUCAGUUCCCUAAAAUAUUCAAGAGAGUUACAAAGAAGCUAAAGAGGUUCAUUGUCCAGGAAGUUUUUGCUUGU